rnacentral:rRNA from 1 species
GGCCAACACCGGUUGAUCGUGCCGGAGGCCACUGCUAUGGGGAUCCGACUAAGCCAUGCGAGUAGUGGGCGCCUCCGCAAGGGGGUGGCCCUGCGCACGGCUCAGUAACACGUCGUCAACCUACCCUAGGGACGGGGAUAACCUCGGGAAACUGAGGAUAAUCCCCGAUAGGCAAAGGGUGCUGGAAUGCCCCUUUGCCCAAAACCGGCGGGUAAAACCGCGCGGGCCCUAGGAUGGGACGGCGGCCUAUCAGGUAGUUGGUGGUGUAACGGACCACCAAGCCUACGACGGGUACGGGCUGUGAGAGCAGGAGCCCGGAGAUGGGCACUGAGACAAGGGCCCAGGCCCUACGGGGCGCAGCAGGCGCGAAACUUUCGCAAUGGGCGAAAGCCUGACGAAGGGAUCCCCAGUGCCGCUGGCCUUCGGGUCGGCGGCUUUUCGGGAGUGUAAAAAGCUCCCGGAAUAAGGGCUGGGUAAGUCGGGUGCCAGCCGCCGCGGUAAUACCCGCAGCCCGAGUGGUGGCCGCGUUUAUUGGGCCUAAAGCGCUCGUAGCCGGGUCAGCAAGUCUCCCGUGAAAUCGACCAGUCGACUGGUCGGCGCGCGGGAGAUACUGCUGACCUAGGGGCCGGGGGACGCUAGGGGUACUCCGGGGGUAGGGGUGAAAUCCUGUAAUCCCCGGGGGACCACCGGUGGCGAAGGCGCCUAGCGACAACGGACCCGACGGUGAGGGGCGAAGGCUGGGGGAGCAAAGGGGAUUAGAUACUACAAAGUGUCCCCCCUGGUAGCGAUACCAGGGUGCGCACCCAGCUGUAUCGGUGGAACCUCGUCCUUGGAGGGCGAGGCAACACCGAGGGAAGUCGCUAAAAGCGACCCCGUAGAGACUAGGGCGCGUGUGGUGACAGAAGAUGAUGAUGAAAACAUCAUCUUUGUCAAAAGAAGCACAGGCAGUGGUGUUAGGCAGUCUCCUUGGCGAUGGCAGCCUAGUGAUACAAAGAGGCUACAAAAAUGCACGAUUCUGCUUUAGGCACUCAGCAAAACAAAGGGACUAUUUCAUGUGGAAAGUGUCGCUACUGAAGGAGAUUUCCGGAGAGAGGUGCUGGCACGAACAACCACCCGAUGGGCUAAGCAAAUAUCCAAAGUUACACUACUGCAGCAGAGCGCUGCCAGAGCUCACAAAACUAUACGAACUAACACACAAGAGAGGGAAAUUGAGGGUAAGGAGAAAAUGGCUUAAUAUGAUGACGCCGCUGUCGCUCGCAAUAAUUUGGUUCGACAACGGUUCAAUAAUAGGCAACGGGCGCAGGGGCGUUAUCUGCACAGACAGGGUGCCGCUCAAAGGACAAUUGGUGUUCUGCAAAUACCUUCGUAAGGUUUGGGGGAUCAAAGCGAGAGUGGGAAGAGUCAGGAAAGGCAGCGAUGUAUACAGAGUCUGGAUAAGGUCAGCCGAGAGCCUGAAAAAACUUCUCCGCAUCGUGGCGCCAUUCGCCAAGGUAGAGUCAGUACUGCCGAAACUUUUGUUGCUUUACAAAGACGCACGCGCCCAGAAACGCUGGGUCUCUGAAGUGUCCGCUGCAACGGGAUUUCCAGAAGAGGUUGUGUGGAAACACCUCAAUGAAAAGAAGUCCCGCUGGCGGAGCUUCAGAGAAUGAUAUAGUCCUGCCCCCAUGGCGACAUGGGAAGGCUGACCCCCGUAGUCCCAGCAGUAAAGGAUGCGGGCCAGGUGCUGGGUGUUCCUUCGAGGACACUCGGUGCCGGAGGGAAGCCGUUAAGCCCGCCGCCUGGGAAGUACGGCC